UAAACUUGACCCCAACCUAACUCAACCACUUUAAUGGCUACGUGCAACCCUAUCUUCUUUUCUUCUCGUAUAAGUUCUCCCCGAUUAAGACCUUCCUUGUCCUCAAGGAAGGAAUGUGGGAAAACAAAUCUUUAGAGCUUGAUAGCCUUCCCAAGUUGCGAGAUCUGAUGAUAACUUGUCCCAUCGAAUCUUUAGAGCAAUUGCCUUGUUCCCCUUUUGAAUCAUAGGUCUAUCCAAAAUUUUGUGUGCUGAGGGUAGUAAGGACUUGGUAGUUCUAGCACUGGUGGAUGAGAGAUGGUAUCUAGUAACUCGUAACAUCGCUUGAGCUGAGACACGUGAAAGGUAGGGUGCAACAAUAACUUUGGAUGAAGUGAGAGCUUGUAUGCUACGUGCUCUACCUUUUGCAACACUUGGCUCCUAUCAAAUUCCACUGAGUCAGAAUCACCAGCCAUAUAUAGAAGAUGCAAAGGUGGAGGUUGCCCAUAUAGUGUCUCACAGGGAAUACAUUAUAUUGAAGAGUGAAAUGUGGUGUUAUACUACCAUUGUGUUCAGGUCGAGGCUUUUCUUUUAAGAUCUGGGCAUUCAACUUGUAUAUGAUCAUAUUUUUCACUUUCAUAGCAUUUCCCCAUCGUUCUUUUCUUGUUCGUUGUAUUGUCUUGAUGUUCUUCUGGAGGACAUUCUCUACUUUUUGGUAUUCUCUGUAUCUUUUUGGAAACUAUAGCUAUUUCUUAUUCAAGUUACUCAGCUUCAUUUUUAUUUUCA